GGCACUCAAGGUCCCCUAGAGAACACGUACCCUGACUUCUGGCGCAUGGUUUGGGAGCAGAACGUGCUGGUGAUUGUCAUGACCACAAGAGCAGCUUGAUGCAGGAUUCAAUCAGGGCAUUCCCAAGCCACGUUUGAGAGAGCCCGUGCCAUUGCAGAAAGAAAAAAUAAAAGGAUAUAUGAGAAGUCAAGAUUCUCUGGGAAAGACAAUGGUACAGAAAAAAAGUGG